AUACUCAGGACCGUUACCUGAUGCUGUGUAUGAGGAGAUUGAUUAUAACACGAUGAGGGAGAAGUUUGAGAUGUUUGGUCGCUCAGUCUCCUACUCGGAGGACUCCGUGAUGAAGCUGCAGUAUUACACUGGGGACAGCAAGCAGGGAAAUGACCUUGGAUCAGCACAAGAAAAAGCUGCCCCUGGGGAUUUCCAGCUGGAUUACGAUAGUGUGGAGGAGCCUGCACUGAGUACUGCCCAUGUACCUCCAGACA